UACUUAUCAAGAAAGGCGGAGGGAAUGGCCCUGUGAAGCCUUAGCAACCAUCUAAUUUUAGAAAUGGUGCUAAUUCCAUCUCAGAUGAAUCUGGGGUAGUUAAGUC
rnacentral:ncRNA from 2 species